UGCAGCGAGCUGCUGUCCUGUGAGCUGUGCACCACCGCUCCUCCAGCGCCCAACGGCACCGGCUGCCUCUGGGGGGGCUGUGGGGCACCGGAGACGUGGAGCUGCGUGCGCAGCGGGGCGGCCACACGGGACACAUGUGUGCUCUACAACAGCAGUGCCCUGUGCCCAGCGGCACUGAAAUCCCCCACCAAAGAGCCACCGCGGUCCCCUAGCAAGGAGCCAGCAACGCAUUCCCCACG